rnacentral:rRNA from 1 species
UACGUAGGAGACGAGCGUUGUCCGGAAUCACUGGGCGUAAAGCGCGUGUAGGCGGAAGAGCAAGUCUGCUGUGAAAACUCCUGGCUUAACCGGGAGAGGUCGGUGGAAACUGCUCGUCUGGAGGACGGUAGAGGCUGGUGGAAUUCCCGGUGUAGUGGUGAAAUGCGUAGAUAUCUGGAGGAAUACCGGUGGCGAAGGCGGCACUCGAUCGGACC